rnacentral:rRNA from 1 species
UACGUAGGGUGCAAGCGUUAAUCGGAAUUACUGGGCGAAAGCGUGCGCAGGCGGUUGUGUAAGACAGAUGUGAAAUCCCCGGGCUCAACCUGGGAACUGCAUUUGUGACUGCACGGGCUGGAGUGCGGCAGAGGGGGGAUGGAAUUCCGCGUGUAGCAGUGAAAUGCGUAGAUAUCGGGAGGAACACCAGUGGCGAAGGCGACUUCCUGGCCUGUUCUUGACGCUGAGGCGCGAAAGCUAGGGUAGCAAACGGGG